UACGGGGGGGGCAAGCGUUGUUCGGAAUUACUGGGCGUAAAGGGCUCGUAGGCGGCCAACUAAGUCGGACGUGAAAUCCCCAGGCUCAACCUGGGAACUGCGUCCGAUACUGGAUGGCUUGAAUCCGGGAGAGGGAUGCAGAAUUCCAGGUGUAGCGGUGAAAUGCGUAGAUAUCAGGAGGAACACCGGUGGCGAAGGCGGCUCCCUGGUCCACAACUGACGCUGAGGUGCGAAAGCCAGGGGAGCAAACGGG
rnacentral:rRNA from 1 species